UUCCCCACCUGUGUGUAAUCUCCCUGUGUUUCUCUGUGUGUAUUUAAGUCACGUCUUUAGUCAUUGUAGUGGCUGGUCCGUCUGUGUAUCCACCAUGUUCCACUCGUGUGUCUGGUGUUAAAUAGUCAUGUCAAGUUGCAAUCGUGUAUUUUGUUCACCUUGUACAUAUUCUUCACUGCAGCAGCCUAGUAGGUGUGAGAAGCCAUUUUUGUUGAUUAAGUUUUCUCCUGUUUUUUGUUAGAAAGUUAGGGUGGUGAUCCAAAUCAGCGUGGAGCAGAAUGCACCAUAGAGAUGUACAACUCUUCUGUUGAACACCUCAAGACUGAAGACUGCAAGGAAAGAAAGGUAAUCUACACCGAGCAUCUGAAGAACAACAUGCAAGUCCUCCAGCACAUUCAAUCCAAAACCUGUUCCAGUUCCUCAGACACCAUCAGAGACUGUCUGGAUAAAAAGAAACUUUGCCAACCACUGCAAGUAUCAAGUGUUUUAAAUUUUGUUUGACUGUUUAUUAUGUACUUAUUUGUUUUUGGUUGUAUUAAUUUUGAUAUUAAUUAGAUCAGUGCCUUUUUAGUCAUUAAUUUGAUCAUUAAAUAUUAACUGCUUAGGGCAGCAC